rnacentral:tRNA from 22 species
GCCCCCUUAGCUCAGGGGAUAGAGCACCGGCCUCCGGAGCCGGGUGCGUAGGUUCGAAUCCUACAGGGGGCA